GCUCCCUGAAGUCAGCGGCGGACGGGUGAGUAACACGUGGGCAACCUGCCUGUAAGACUGGGAUAACUCCGGGAAACCGGGGCUAAUACCGGAUAAUUCUUUCCCUCACAUGAGGGAAAGCUGAAAGAUGGUUUCGGCUAUCACUUACAGAUGGGCCCGCGGCGCAUUAGCUAGUUGGUGAGGUAACGGCUCACCAAGGCAACGAUGCGUAGCCGACCUGAGAGGGUGAUCGGCCACACUGGGACUGAGACACGGCCCAGACUCCUACGGGAGGCAGCAGUAGGGAAUCUUCCGCAAUGGACGAAAGUCUGACGGAGCAACGCCGCGUGAGUGAUGAAGGUUUUCGGAUCGUAAAACUCUGUUGUUAGGGAAGAACAAGUACCGGAGUAACUGCCGGUACCUUGACGGUACCUAACCAGAAAGCCACGGCUAACUACGUGCCAGCAGCCGCGGUAAUACGUAGGUGGCAAGCGUUGUCCGGAAUUAUUGGGCGUAAAGCGCGCGCAGGCGGUUCCUUAAGUCUGAUGUGAAAGCCCCCGGCUCAACCGGGGAGGGUCAUUGGAAACUG
rnacentral:rRNA from 1 species